UCAGAGGAUGAGGACCAUACUUCUCAGGUAGGUUCUUACAUUACUACUUAACAAUUUUUUUACCUUAGAGCUGAGAACCUUUUUUUAACAAUAUGAACCUUUGUGCCCACGUAUGUAAAAAUAAAUACUGUCCAACCCCUUCUUUUGUUUAGUCAUGUGUUCUCCAAAGUACAAAGUUAUGACAAGACGUUCCCAUUAUCGAGGAGAUACGUCAUACAUGUUCCAUCUAUCUAUUAUGCUUCCCUCUGGUAUUAGUUUUUUUGUUUCCAUGAUCAGGUGGCUAAGCGUUGAUGCUUUUUGAUCAGGUGGCUAAACGUUGAUGCUUUUUGAUCAGGUGGCUAGGCAUUGAUGCUCACUGCAGGUUUCAACUGAAUCACUUUGGUUUACUCCAAAAGAGAGGUAUUAGCUUAUAACUACUAUACACUGUGCUCUUUGGUGUCUGAAGGAAAGAAAUAUGCUCUCAGGUAUAUAUUUAAAUAUAUGGUUUCCGUUGCAAUUUAAAAUUGGAUUCAUAUAGUUUUAAGCACACAACACAUAUGCUAAUUUGAAGGUUCAUCGCAAUGGAACUCUAUAAUGUCUGAGAGGUCCUCUAUAGUUCCAUCGUCAGGCUUCCCAAGUUUAAUCUUUCUCCAAGAAUUCAAAAAGUUUCCAUAUGGCGGAAGGGAUGUAACACUUCUGAAGUCAUUUGAGUUCCAAGACCUAUAAUCAUGUGGUCAGUUUUUACCG